rnacentral:rRNA from 1 species
GACGAACGCUGGCGGCAUGCCUAAUACAUGCAAGUCGAGCGAACAGAUGAAGUGCUUGCACUUCUGACGUUAGCGGCGAACGGGUGAGUAACACGUAAGGAAUCUACCUAUAAGCGGGGGAUAACAUUCGGAAACGGGUGCUAAUACCGCAUAAUAUCUUCUUCCGCGUGGAAGAAGAUUGAAAGACGGCUCUGCUGUCACUUAUAGAUGACCUUGCGGUGCAUUAGUUAGUUGGUGGGGUAACGGCCUACCAAGACGAUGAUGCAUAGCCGACCGUAGAGGGUGAGCGGCCACAUUGGGACUGAGACACGGCCCAAAAUCCUACGGGAGGCAGCAGUAGGGAAUCUUCCGCAAUGGGCGAAAGCCUGACGGAGCAAUGCCGCGUGAGUGAAGAAGGCCUUCGGGUCGUAAAACUCUGUUAUAAGAGAAGAACAAAUUGUAGAGUAACUGCUACAGUCUUGACGGUAUCUUAUCAGAAAGCCACGGCUAACUACGUGCCAGCCGCCGCAGUAA